ensembl:lncRNA
GUGUGUAGGGGUGUGUGGAGGUGUGGAGGUGUGUAGUGGAGGUGGUGUAGUGGUGUGUGGAGGUGGUGUAGUGGUGUGUGGAGGCGUGUGGAGGUGUUGUAGUGGGGUGUGGAGGUGUGUAGUGGUGUGUGGAGGUGUGUGGUGGGGUGUGGAGGUGGUGUAGGGGUGUGUGGAGGUGUGUAGUGGAGGUGUGUAGUGGUGUGUGGAGGUGGUGUAGUGGUGUGUGGAGGUGUGUAGUGGUGUGUGGAGGUGGUGUAGUGGUGUGUGGAGGUGUUGUAGUGGUGUGUGGAGGUGGUGUAGUGGUGUGUGGAGGUGGUGUAGUGGUGUGUGGAGGUGUGUGGAGGUGUGUGGUGGGGUGUGGUGGUGUAGUGGGGUGUGGGUGUGGAGGGAUAAGAUGAGAUGAGUUCUGUUCUGAUGAGAUGAGAUCUGUUCAGAUGAGAUGAAAUGAGUGGGGAGCGGACAGAUGCAUCUCCUGCAGGGACAUCUCUCUGGAAAAAAUAAAUCAAUUGGCAAAUGUUAC